rnacentral:misc_RNA from 1 species
AACUUUUGACAACGGAUCACUUGGCUCUCGCAUCGAUGAAGAACGCAGCGAAAUGCGAUACAUAAUGUGAAUUGCAGAAUUCAGUGAAUCAUCGAAUCUUUGAACGCACCUUGCGCCCUUUGGCAUUCCGAGGGGCACACCCGUUUGAGUGUCGUGACAUUCUCAAAAACCUUCUUUGGUUUCUUGACCAGGAAGGCUUUUGGACUUUGGAGGCUUUUGCUGGCCUUCCUUUGUUGAAGCCAGCUCCUCUGAAAUGAAUUAGUGGGGUCUGCUUUGCCUAUCCUUGACGUGAUAAGAUGUUUUCUACGUCUUGGGUUUUGCACUGUUCCUGCUUCUAACCGUCUCAUAGAAGACAAUGGUCAAGUGAUUGCCACUUGACCCACAAACCUUGACCUCAAAUCGGGUGAGACUACCCGCUGAACUUAAGCAUAUCAAUAAGCGGAGGCU